AGUGAACGCUGGCGGCGUGCCUAACACAUGCAAGUCGAACGAUGAUGGAGGAGCUUGCUCUUCCUGAUUAGUGGCGCACGGGUGAGUAAUGCAUAGAUAAUGUGCCCCUUAGUUCGGGAUAGCCACUGGAAACGGUGAUUAAUACCGGAUACUCCUUCUUAUCAUAAGAUAAGUCGGGAAAGUUUUUCGCUAAGGGAUCAGUCUAUGUUCCAUCAGUUAGUUGGUGAGGUAACGGCUCACCAAGACAAUGACGGAUAUCUGGUUUGAGAGGAUGAUCAGACACACUGGAACUGAGACACGGUCCAGACUCCUACGGGAGGCAGCAGUGAGGAAUAUUGCACAAUGGAGGAAACUCUGAUGCAGCAACGCCGCGUGGAGGAUGACGCAUUUCGGUGUGUAAACUCCUUUUCUUAGGGAAGAUUAUGACGGUACCUAAUGAAUAAGCACCGGCUAACUCCGUGCCAGCAGCCGCAGUAACAC
rnacentral:rRNA from 1 species